rnacentral:lncRNA from 1 species
CCACACCUACAGCCAGGGCUCCAGCAUCAAGACCACCUCCUUGAGGGCUUCUGAGGCUGCCCUGCCCAGCCCUGGCUGCCUCCAGUGCAUGCCUCAUCUUGUACUGCCUCCCUCCCCUGGACGCUGGCACCAAGGCCAGCCCACCCUCAACCGGACGCCUCCUUCUCUUGACCUGUAGCCAUGGUGAGCAGCUACGGUUGGGCUGGGGUGGAGAAAGUCUAGAAGAAAAUGGAGAGCUCCCUGUGGUUUGGCUGCCUCUGACCAGCCCCUCAUCUUCCUCACCCCAUCAAUCACUCCAGGAAGCACAGCUGGGGGAGGAUGAUAAACGGAAAACCUGAAUCCUCCUGAAAAUGAGCUAAUAUCUCCUAGCCCAUUGGGCCAAUCACUCCUUGUCAGGCAGGCUGUUAAGUGAGGCACUGAGGAAAGACUCCAUCCACCGAGGAGUGGGGAAGGAGGUUUGGUGAUGGAGUUGCUCCAUGCGCACUGUUCAUCUUCACACUGAAAUAAACAAGGGAGGGCCGGCUGCUCACGGUCUACUGCAAGGAGAUAGGUCUUCCUGGACAGUGCCCUCCCAGGGGCUGGGCGGUGCUGAUGCAGGCACCGAGAGAAUGCCACACACUCCUGUUGAUGCAGUGGGACCCGGGGGUGGACGCACACCAGGCCUAGGCAGUGCCGGAACUGUGUGUGUGUGUGUGUGUGUGUGUGUGUGUGUUGUUU